rnacentral:rRNA from 1 species
UACAGAGGUCCCAAGCGUUGUUCGGAUUCACUGGGCGUAAAGGGUGCGUAGGUGGCUUGGUAAGUUUGAUGUGUAAUCUCCGGGCUUAACCCGGAAAUGGCAUUGAAUACUACUUUAGCUGGAGGUUUGGAGGGGGGACUGGAAUUCUCGGUGUAGCAGUGAAAUGCGUAGAUAUCGAGAGGAACACCAGUGGCGAAGGCGAGUCCCUGGACAACACCUGACACUGAGGCACGAAAGCUAGGGGAGCAAACAGG